CACACACACACACACACACACACACACACGCAGGCACACCCUGUUCUCCACGAUUCCCGAGCACCUCACAGCGCUCAGCUGAAGGCCGGGAAGAGGCUCGGGCCAACAGGAGCGGGUCUCGGGCCCUUUGCGGAACCUGCGCUCGCCGAGCGGAGCGUGCACGUGCGCGUCUCCCGAGCACUCACAGCGCCGCCCGGCAGCCAGUGCCGCCGGCGCCAUUGGGAAGUGAAACGCGGGGCUGGGCGGCGGCCUCGUGCAAGCGGCCGGAAAAAAUCGGCGGCUUGCUCUGAUUAAAGAAACAAACGAAAGAGAGUGAGAAGGAAGGUAGCUGUCGUUUUCCUGGCACCACUUAUUGAAGAGACAGACUUUCCUUCAUUGUAUAGACUUGUCCUGUUUUGUCAUGCAUUAACUGACCCUACGUGUGAGGGUUUCUAUCCUGGGCUUUCUAUCCUGUUCCAUUGAUUUCUGUUUGUGUUUUUGUGCCAAUACCAUACUGUUUUGAUGACUGUUGCUUUGUAGUAUAGUCUAAAUUCAAGGAACCUGAUUCCUCCAACUCCAUAUUUCUUUAUCAAGAUUGCUUUGGGCAUUUGGGUUCUUUUGUGUC
ensembl:lncRNA